CAUACACCAGAGUUUUCUCUUGCUCUUUUUUCUGUGUAAGCUAAAACUUCACUUUCUCUUUUCAGGAUUCUCACCAUGGGACCAUUUUGUGUUGUAAUUUGGCAGAGGUUCAUUCUGAGUAGGAGGUUUGGACUUGUUUGCAGGAUAACUGAGUAAAUGACUGAGUCCUAUCAGUGGAAACUUAUUAGACUAUGAAGACUCAUUAGAUAUCGUAUGAUUGUCCCACAAAAUGAAUUUCAUUUUGACAGCUUACAUUGGAAAAGGUCACAGGAAUGGCAAAAAGAAAUGUAAUGAAUGAGAGAAUCUUUCUGGGUGUUUCCCUUUGUGCAAUGGUAACAAAUCCUUAAAAAGACUGAAAAAUCUUCAACAUUAUUUAUCUGGGCAAUGCAAUGAAGAGGGUAUAACAUCAACUCAAGCCUUGGCAGUGGCAGUCUGGAUGAGGUGCUGCUGGUGGCAGUGGAUGCUGGGCAUCCUCAGGUACUCCUCCCUCUCUCAAGUCCAUGCUCUGGAAGAGGAAUGGUUCCUGGCUGGCAGGCACAAGCAAAGAAUGGG
rnacentral:lncRNA from 1 species